UAAAAUUGAGCUCCUAUGCUUUUAAAAGUAUCAAGACAUUGGUGCUUGUAGAUUUUUAGCCAUUGGAUUAAGAGAUAUGCGAUUAGAAUGAUGUGGGCUCCCUAGGAUUGAGUGGGUGGUUGGUUGAAUAGUAUAAUCUAAUGGUUGAAAAUGAUCCGUGGAGUAAAUCUAAUGGUAAAAACUUACAAGCACCAAGUGCUUGGUGCUUUUACAAGCACCAUAGCUGGACUCUAUAUAUAUAUAUAUUUGAGCAUACUUGCAAAUAUGCGUAAUAAAUAUUUUAAUAAGUAUCCCAAAUUAAUAUAAAUAUGUAAACUCAUUCAAAACUUUACAUUGUAAAAUUUAAAUUUUAAAAAAUAAUUUUAUUUAUUAUAUACUAUUAUAAAAUAUUUGUUUUAUUCUAACUCAAAUUUAUAUAGUUGUUGUCAAUAAUAAUUAUAUAAUUCUAUUUUUUAUUUAUAUAAAUAGAUAUAGAUAUACAUUGAAUAUUUUUCUAUAUUUUUUAAUUUAAUAAAUCUAAAAUUUAAAUAUAUAUUCACUAUAACAGAAUUAGUUUAUAGGGACACAUGUUUGGGACACUUUUGUGUAAGUGUCCUAUUAUACCAAAACUUAAGAAAAUAUUUACUAAUGCCUAAAUAUAAAGCCCAAUCCAACAAAAAAUAAAAGAUUACUCUACUCAACCCACCCCAUCUAGCCCAUUCAGUCUGAUUACAAACAAAAAAAAAAGAAGAAAAAAUCGAUUACCAUCUCCCCUUCUCCCCUCGCUUAAUUCACUAGAAUCCUAGACAAAGAGCCCUUCCCUCUCAUCCUCCUCCGCCACCGCAGCUAACGAGGUAGAGUUUCGGCGGUUGCCAAAUGCUUAAAUAAGUGUUGGUAAAUUAACAGCACUCUUUUAGUUUAUAGCAACACUCUUUAACUAUCACUAUAUACCUAACGACCCCACAUAUAGCAACACAUUUUAAAAAUGUCGGUAAUUUAGUCAGCGACACUUUUAACAGCAACACUUUUUUUUACCUGUACCGAUAUUUAAAAGUAUCGCUAUAGGUCGUUUUUGUUGUAGUGUUAAACAAAAAGUAUUAAAAUUAAAAAAAUAAUAUAACAAUAAAAUAUUAGUAGAUAGAAUAGACAUAAUAUGUACAUAUUUAUCUUUAAAAGAAAAAAUAUUUAAUAAUAAAAAUAUUUAAUAAAAAAUAAAAUAUUAAUAGUUGGAGAACAAAGUGGAAUAAAUAUUUAUUUUGCAUACAAAAAAAAGUCGAUAGAUCGAAAUUUGAAAUACGUAUUUUUACAUAUAGUAUAGAUAUAUUACACUUUUUAGUUUUAUCUCUCUUU
rnacentral:lncRNA from 1 species